ACGUAGGGUGCAAGCGUUGUCCGGAAUUACUGGGUGUAAAGGGAGUGCAGGCGGACCGGCAAGUUGGAAGUGAAAACUAUGGGCUCAACCCAUAAAUUGCUUUCAAAACUGCUGGCCUUGAGUAGUGCAGAGGUAGGUGGAAUUCCCGGUGUAGCGGUGGAAUGCGUAGAUAUCGGGAGGAACACCAGUGGCGAAGGCGACCUACUGGGCACCAACUGACGCUGAGGCUCGAAAGCAUGGGUAGCAAACAG
rnacentral:rRNA from 1 species